ACUCUCAUUUAUCUCUGUUUCAUUCUCUCUCUCAGUUUUUCACAUAAGCCCCUCCCCCCUCUCUCAUAUUCAUACUCAUUCACUGUGACACUCUCUGCUUCCUCUCUCUCUAUCUCUAUCUCCCUUCAUUCCCCCUCUGUCUGUUUCUUACAUAUACUCCCUCUCUCAUAUUCAUACUAAUUCACCUAGACUAUCCCCCUCUCUCUCUCUCUAUUCUAACCCCCCCUUUCCCCUCUGUAUACCUCACACACAUAACGUUCACUGUCUUCCCGCUCACUCAUUCAUAACCCAUUCACUCACUCCCUCUCAUUUGUACACACAUACUCACACUUCUACAUCUAUACACGCUUCAACAUCUACGCAAUCCCAUAUACACACAUACAUAUGUAUAUGUGCACUCGGCACUUUUAUACCUUGGUUUUGGUUAGAUCGAAUCUUCUUACACGAUCUUCUGCUUUAAAAUAGUAGAUAAUAUUGGUGGGGGGAAUAACAGUGAGAUAUUGAUAUAUUAUAUAUAUAUACACGCAAACACACGCAUAUAUAUGUGCACUAAUAUAUCACAUAUAUAAAACUAUAUAGAUAUACAUUAAUACAUAGCUAUAUAUAUAUAUAUAUAUAUAUAUAUAUAUAUAUAUGUAUAUGUAAUAAAUAUUAUUAUGGUAUGAUUUCUCAUUUCUGUCUUUGAAUACGAAGACAAAAUAGAAAGCAGCAACAGUAGAACUGAUAUUGUAAGCAAACAGUACUUUGGUCGGUGAGAUUGGCCAUUUCCACACAUACACAUACACAUACAAAACAUAUACACCCAGUUUAUACAUAUAUAUGUAUAUAGAUAUAGAUAUAUAUAUAUAUAUCCUUGAGAUAUUUCCACAGUGUGUUCACGUACAGGCUUGCUACUUGACAGACUAACACACAAACACACAGGCUCUCGUAGAUAUCUAUAAAUUUAUAUAUAUAUAUUUCAAUAUAUAUAUAUACAUAGAGAGAGAGAGAGAGAGAGAGAGGAGAGAGAGAGAGAGAGAGAAAAGCUUUGGUAGGUGCUUCUGUACGGCUGUUGUCGCGGAGCCAGGUAAUUUAAGUAAGGCUUCUAAAGUAAAUGAGCAGCUGUGUCUGAAGAAUGGUAGGAGGAUGUGAAUAUUAUGUCAUUUGCGUAUGAAGCUGUCUGCAUGUUUUGUAGAAGUGCUAGGUGGGGAGAAAUCCCUUUGGCACGCAAUCCAGCAAUUUCGAAGGUUCUGAAACUGUUGU